rnacentral:rRNA from 1 species
AGAGUUUGAUCCUGGCUCAGAUUGAACGCUGGCGGCGUGCCUUACACAUGCAAGUCGAACGGGUUUUGGGGCUUGCUCCAAAACUAGUGGCGAACGGGUGAGUAAUACAUCGGAACGUGCCUUUUAGUGGGGGAUAACGCAUCGAAAGAUGUGCUAAUACCGCAUAUUCUGUACGCAGGAAAGUCGGAACUCGCAAGAAUCUGACGCUAGAAGAGCGGCCGAUGUCGGAUUAGCUAGUUGGUGAGGUAAAGGCUCACCAAGGCUACGAUCCGUAGCAGGUCUGUGAGGAUGGUCUGCCACACUGGAACUGAGACACGGUCCAGACUCCUACGGGAGGCAGCAGUGGGGAAUUUUGGACAAUGGGCGAAAGCCUGAUCCAGCCACGCCGCGUGUCUGAUGAAGGCCUUAGGGUUGUAAAGGACUUUUAUCUGGAAGGAAAUAUGCUGUGCUAAUACCACAGUAGGCUGACAGUACCAGAUGAAUAAGCACCGGCUAACUACGUGCCAGCAGCCGCGGUAAUACGUAGGGUGCGAGCGUUAAUCGGAAUGACUGGGCGUAAAGCGUCCGCAGGUGGUUUAUUAAGCUAGAUGUGAAAGCCCCGGGCUUAACCUGGGAACUGCAUUUAGAACUAAUAGACUAGAGUGUAGCAGAGGGGGGUGGAAUUCCGCGUGUAGCAGUGGAAUGCGUAGAUAUGCGGAGGAACACCGAUGGCGAAGGCAGCCCCCUGGGUUAACACUGACACUCAUGGACGAAAGCGUGGGGAGCAAACAGGAUUAGAUACCCUGGUAGUCCACGCCCUAAACGAUGUCUACUAGUUGUUGGAGAGGGAGACCUCUUUGGUGACGUAGCUAACGCGUGAAGUAGACCGCCUGGGGAGUACGGUCGCAAGACUAAAACUCAAAGGAAUUGACGGGGGCCCGCACAAGCGGUGGAUUAUGUGGAUUAAUUCGAUGCAACGCGAAAAACCUUACCUACCCUUGACAUGUCAGGAAUCUGCUUGAAAGAGUGGAGUGCCCGAAAGGGAAUCUGAACACAGGUGCUGCAUGGCUGUCGUCAGCUCGUGUCGUGAGAUGUUGGGUUAAGUCCCGCAACGAGCGCAACCCUUACUAAUAGUUGCUACGAAAGAGCACUCUAUUGGGACUGCCGGUGAUAAACCGGAGGAAGGUGGGGAUGACGUCAAGUCCUCAUGGCCCUUAUGGGUAGGGCUUCACACGUAAUACAAUGGCCGGUACAGAGGGUCGCCAAACCGCGAGGUGGAGCUAAUCUCAUAAAGCCGGUCGUAGUCCGGAUUGCAGUCUGCAACUCGACUGCAUGAAGUCGGAAUCGCUAGUAAUCGCGGAUCAGCAUGUCGCGGUGAAUACGUUCCCGGGCCUUGUACACACCGCCCGUCACACCAUGGAAGUGGGGGAUACCAGAAGUGGGUAGUCGAACCGCAAGGAUGACGCUCACCACGGUAUGUUUCAUGACUGGGGUGAAGUCGAACAAGGUA